AGGGUUUCAGAUGUCUAUCUCAUUCCUAUCCGCCUCUCUCUCUCUCUCUCUCUCUCUCUCUCUCUCGGCGAUUCAGAAACCCCAAGCUAUCUUCACCAGAUCUGUUUGAGAAUUUGCUUUCUUCGGCUGCUAUUGAUGGUGGUUGUCUGGUUAAGUUGUUGAUUGUGCAACUGCCCUGCUUUCUCUCUCAAAUGAGAUCUAGGGUUUCUACAUGUGAUUCAAGAUCUGGCUAUCGCAGCUUUCUCUCUCAAACGAGAUCUAGGGUUUCUACAUACGCUUCAAGAUCUGGCUUUCACAGUUCGUUCGACACAUUUCAAAUUGAGAUCCCUUUUUCCAUUUUCGUUCUCUCUCCCCCUCAAAGAUCUGGAUUUGGAUCUGUGGAUCCAAAAGGAAAAAUAAUCAGAGAUGUUCUUUUACCCCAAAAAUCACUGUGCACUUUUAUAUACAUACAUCUGGUGAGAACCAAACCUUGCAAGACCCAAAAUUUCAUCCAGUUGAUGUUUGUAUCUGCUUUAAACUUGCAGAUCUAGGGUUUUACUUUCAUGUCUGAGGUAAACUCUACUUUGAAUCAACAGAUCUAGGGUUUUAUACCUCAUGUUUGAAGGUUUUAUUCUUGGAAGGAUCUUAAGGACCACAUGCGUAAGGCUGGAGAUGCAUGUUUUGCUGAAGUUUCUUGGAUAAUCCCGUCACCGAUACACAGCCAACAGAUCAGCAUCAGCGGCUUUCCUUAUGCUUUGACAAACUAAUGGGUGAUGUCUCCAGAAGCUUGAAAUCAAGGUUCAUUUAUCAGCUCCCAGCUGUUCGUUUAACGGAUGAACAAGAUGGUCGAUUGAGAGGGUUUUGGUGAGUCACACAGGUUCAUUUUAAAGCAUUUGCCCCUCACAUAUGUAGGAAAGAGAAGUAAAACCAUUCAUUGAAGAUCCACGUUCGUUUGUUUGUACAUUCACAGAAGGGAACACAAGAACAGUCCCAGCUGGACAAACAUCGAAAACAGGUUCAAAGAUUGGCAAACCAAAUGGUCAUGCAUCAAGGCACGGAAGCAGAUAUGUAUCUUCGAGAGUGGUUUCAGUGAAGGGCUCAAAACCAGAGCUGAUCAUGUCUGUUCAAGAUAUCAACAUCCAGUCACAAUCUUUAAUUAAUGUCAGGGACUCUAACAAGGUAUCGUUCUAAGUUGUAAAUGAUGUGGUGGUCAUCUUGUUGGAUAUUUGCUGGACAAUAAUGGCUCCGAGGCGCGAGAAAUGAAUAAAAGAAAGGAGGGUAUUCCAGGUGAAGCAAGAGCUGCUGCUUUAUUAAGGCGUUCUGUUAGAGAGAAUGGUUCUGACCUUGCCGAGCAAAGUGGAGAAGUAUCACGAUCCAUAUCUGGACCAGGUUUGAUUACAUAUGGCUCUCCUGAGCAGGUUUGAUUUAUAUUUUUUUUAGACUGAAAGGGUCGGUUGCAGAUGUGAUAGGGCUAAGAGUCGAGGCUUUGUGCUCCUCUACUUUGAACGGCUAAACCCUUACAAUGUUUUGACUUUGGUGAAAAAGAACAACUGGACACACAUUUCUGAAUCUUCUUCAGUGGCUAAAAUGGUGAAAGAGUGCAGGCUGCAUAUAGAUGGUCCUCUCUCUCUCUGAUUUCAUAAAAUGGUGAAAGAGUGCAACAGAGUCAUUUCACUUUUAUAUAGCCUGCUCAUUUCAACAGUAACACACUUUAUAGCCACAUUAACACACUUUAUAGCCUGCUCUUCCCUUUUCUUUUAAAAACCAGUCAAACAAAUAACCCUCAAACAAACCAUUUUAACCCUUCAGGUGUCAUGCAUUUACACAUUAAACCCUUACUCUCUCUCACUUCCCUUAUAAGAAGCACCUCCCCACAUUAACUCACUUUUACUCUUCCUCCACCUCCAUAAUUUGAGUCGAAACUCCCACUACACACACACACACACAAGUUCAAGCUGAAGCAAGUUAAGGUAGCUUGAACCUGUUUGAAACUGAAGCAAGUUAAGCUACAAGAUCAAGUUCCAAGUCCAAGUUCAGGCUCUUUAUUUUCUCUCAAAUCCUUCUCCUUGCUUGCUAAGGUGUCGGGGGAAAACUUAUUUACCAAAACUAGAUGGCAAUCGUCUUUUGCAAGAAUCAUAAAUCUAUAUAUUCCGAAUGCGGGGCGGAUUAUCAGUCAAGUAUGUUUGAUAUGUUAACCAAAAAAUGUAUUUUUUUCCCUAAUUAAUUAAACUUAUUUCGCACGAUUUUAUUAGUUUAUCUCGCUAAAAUAUGCAUCAUUAUUAGGGGUUUAAAAAUGAGCAGGAGUCACAUGACUUCACUUGGAGAUGUUUUAAAAAUUGGAUUUAAAGAUUCAAGUAUAAGUAUAAGGUUAAAAAUGAAAGUACCAUAUUUUGACAUUUUCUAAUAAAACAAAGGCGCCCCUUAGCAUUUCUCGAAAAAGAAACAUUCCAAAAGUAUAUUAUUACUUUUUCUACGUCAAAUCUUCCAAAAUAUCUAUCAAUGUUUUUCAUAUUUAUUCAGUUUCUUAUAAAACUAUAUUAGUCUUUUGGGAAGUAUAAAACAAGUUAAUUUGAUUUAAUUUUUUUGACUUUCUAUCUUCUAUUUUUAACAUAUAUUGUAUUUAAACAACCAAGACCAACCCUCAUUCAUAAAAUAACACUUACAAAAUAGGAGACUACCACCCCACCCAGAACACAACCAGACUUGGGGGAAUCAAAAGAAGACUACCCCACCCAAUGAAACACCCAAAAAGGAAAUACAAGACCAAUUCAAAUAACUCAUGUCAAACCACAGAAAUAAAAUGCAAGACCAA